AUGCACCGAAGCUGCGGCAGCGACGCUUAUGCGUUGUUGGGUAGGGGAGCGUUCUGUAAGCCUGCGAAGGUGUGCUGUGAGGCAUGCUGGAGGUAUCAGAAGUGCGAAUGCUGACAUAAGUAACGAUAAAGCGGGUGAAAAGCCCGCUCGCCGGAAGACCAAGGGUUCCUGUCCAACGUUAAUCGGGGCAGGGUGAGUCGACCCCUAAGGCGAGGCCGAAAGGCGUAGUCGAUGGGAAACAGGUUAAUAUUCCUGUACUUGGUGUUACUGCGAAGGGGGGACGGAGAAGGCUAUGUUGGCCGGGCGACGGUUGUCCCGGUUUAAGCGUGUAGGCUGGUUUUCCAGGCAAAUCCGGAAAAUCAAGGCUGAGGCGUGAUGACGAGGCACUACGGUGCUGAAGCAACAAAUGCCCUGCUUCCAGGAAAAGCCUCUAAGCAUCAGGUAACAUCAAAUCGUACCCCAAACCGACACAGGUGGUCAGGUAGAGAAUACCAAGGCGCUUGAGAGAACUCGGGUGAAGGAACUAGGCAAAAUGGUGCCGUAACUUCGGGAGAAGGCACGCUGAUAUGUAGGUGAAGUCCCUUGCGGAUGGAGCUGAAAUCAGUCGAAGAUACCAGCUGGCUGCAACUGUUUAUUAAAAACACAGCACUGUGCAAACACGAAAGUGGACGUAUACGGUGUGACGCCUGCCCGGUGCCGGAAGGUUAAUUGAUGGGGUCAGCGCAAGCGAAGCUCUUGAUCGAAGCCCCGGUAAACGGCGGCCGUAACUAUAACGGUCCUAAGGUAGCGAAAUUCCUUGUCGGGUAAGUUCCGACCUGCACGAAUGGCGUAAUGAUGGCCAGGCUGUCUCCACCCGAGACUCAGUGAAAUUGAACUCGCUGUGAAGAUGCAGUGUACCCGCGGCAAGACGGAAAGACCCCGUGAACCUUUACUAUAGCUUGACACUGAACAUUGAGCCUUGAUGUGUAGGAUAGGUGGGAGGCUUUGAAGUGUGGACGCCAGUCUGCAUGGAGCCGGCCUUGAAAUACCACCCUUUAAUGUUUGAUGUUCUAACGUGGACCCGUGAUCCGGGUUGCGGACAGUGUCUGGUGGGUAGUUUGACUGGGGCGGUCUCCUCCUAAAGAGUAACGGAGGAGCACGAAGGUUGGCUAAUCCUGGUCGGACAUCAGGAGGUUAGUGCAAUGGCAUAAGCCAGCUUGACUGCGAGCGUGACGGCGCGAGCAGGUGCGAAAGCAGGUCAUAGUGAUCCGGUGGUUCUGAAUGGAAGGGCCAUCGCUCAACGGAUAAAAGGUACUCCGGGGAUAACAGGCUGAUACCGCCCAAGAGUUCAUAUCGACGGCGGUGUUUGGCACCUCGAUGUCGGCUCAUCACAUCCUGGGGCUGAAGUAGGUCCCAAGGGUAUGGCUGUUCGCCAUUUAAAGUGGUACGCGAGCUGGGUUUAGAACGUCGUGAGACAGUUCGGUCCCUAUCUGCCGUGGGCGCUGGAGAACUGAGGGGGGCUGCUCCUAGUACGAGAGGACCGGAGUGGACGCAUCACUGGUGUUCGGGUUGUCAUGCCAAUGGCACUGCCCGGUAGCUAAAUGCGGAAGAGAUAAGUGCUGAAAGCAUCUAAGCACGAAACUUGCCCCGAGAUGAGUUCUCCCUGACCCUUUAAGGGUCCUGAAGGAACGUUGAAGACGACGACGUUGAUAGGCCGGGUGUGUAAGCGCAGCGAUGCGUUGAGCUAACCGGUACUAAUGAACCGUGAGGCUUAACCUU
rnacentral:rRNA from 1 species